CAAAGUGCUGGGAUUACAGGUGUGAGCCACAGUGCCUGGCCUGAUUAUUAUUUUAGAAUUAAAAUAUCCCAAGUUUCUGAAGCGAGAAAAGCAGUUUCCCCUCUUUCUAGUGCCUUCUGGCUGCUGGCGAAAUGAUGAACAUGUUGAGCUUUACAAGCCAGAGAUUCGAUGAGAACAGAAACACACCUGCCAGGAAAAGAAAAGGCUGCUUAGAGUGAGGAUUCAGGACCUGGAGCCCACUCUGCGGAGAGGGACUGGGGUCAGGUCCUGAUUGGCUUGUGCUCUUCUCUUUUACGCAGGUCUUAUGUAUCAACAAAAUCACACCAGACCACCCAAAGCUGGCCCUGCCAACUGACCACACACACCCCUGCCUGAAAGGCAUGUUUCAAUGUGCAACAGACGCCUGCCACUCAGGGGACAUCAAAUGUUCAUGAGAACUCGCUAACCUCGAAACAGGUUCUACAAAUUCAAAAAAACCACCCGUGGCCUGGCUCUGGGCUGAAGCUGAGUCCUGGCUUGAAAUCCCCUGCCUUAAUCUCUCUUCGAAGACUUUUCUGCAUUCAUCUGAGUCCUCAUCCUCCAAGGCAGGGCUCAGGCUUGGGCUCAGGCUCCCAGCCAUGUAUCCCUCCUGGACCAUUCCUGACUCCUUUCCAGUAUCCUUAUCACUUGUACCACAUACGUUGGCCUUUGAUCCUGUGUACUGUUGGAUUUGUCUUUACUUCACAGGUUCAUCUUGUCUCCCCAAGAACAAUGAGAGUUGCCUCAAGGGGUAGAACCAUGCUUUUUGUUUUCUUUUGAAUUCAUUACAGCACAGCCAAAAGCUCAACACACAAAACACACUCAGUAAAUAUCUGUUGAACAGAAUAAAAGCCAUUCCGCAUAACCAAC
rnacentral:lncRNA from 1 species